AUUGAACGCUGGCGGCAGGCUUAACACAUGCAAGUCGAGCGAGCGGCGGACGGGUGAGUAAUGUCUGGGAAACUGCCUGAUGGAGGGGGAUAACUACUGAAAACGGUAGCUAAUACCGCAUACCAUCAGAUGUGCCCAGAUGGGAUUAGCUAGUAGGUGGGGUAAUGGCUCACCUGGGCGACGAUCCCUAGCUGGUCUGAGAGGAUGACCAGCCACACUGGAACUGAGACACGGGCAAGACUCCUACGGGAGGCAGCAGUGGGGAAUAGUGCACUAUGGGCGCAAGCCUGAUGCAGCCAUGCCGCGUGUGUGAAGAAGGCCUUCGGGUUGUAAAGCACUUUCAGCUAUGAGGAGUUACUCGCAGAAGAAGCACCGGCGAACUCCGUGCCAGCAGCCGCGGUAAUAC
rnacentral:rRNA from 1 species